AAAAGAUCUCCUAUAAUGUAAAGUAGAAGGGAUUUUUAUCAAUCAUGGCAGAUAGGCUCUCAGUAGUCACCUCCUAAAGCAGUCCCUUCCCUGGUUUCCUGGGUGGCAGCUUUCUAUUUCGACCACCGCCAUCGUCUGUGUGGGCUAAAUUUUAUGGCGGUUGGUUUUCUUUUGUAUUUUCUGAACAACUCAUUGUUUCCCGUUCUAACUUAGAAAGCGUGACCCGUGAAUUCUUUGGAAGAUGGUAUAUUGCUUUGGAGUAAAAUCUCCGAAUACAGAUGGGUUUUGAUCUUCUGUUGGUAGUGUUUCAGAGAUUUCCCUCUCAUAUUUUAACUUAGUUGGAAUUGCUGACUUUUCAAAGCUAAGGUAGCCACGUGGGUGUGUUUUUUUUUUUUUUUAGUCCCUUGGGGUUGAACCCAACAAAAUUAUGGGCUGAUCCUUGAAGCCCAAAUGACAGUCUUCACGUUAGUCUUUCUUGGGCUGGGGGCUUUGUUUUCAACAUCCUGGCGUGAAGCCCAACCUGUCUGGAUCCUAAUCUUGUUUAUCCUCAAGUUUUUGGGCUGGGCAGGUAAUUUUACCAUGGGCCUGUCUUUUGAUUUUUGGCGUGCUGAAUUUAGGCCCGAACAAUGCCCCCUAAGUCUGAAUCGUUUUGGAACGGUUUUAAUGUUUUUGCCAUUAAUUCGCGCGCCAAUCUUUUCCUUUUUUAGCCCACGUCUGCCACGUCCGCCUACUAUGAACUAGAGUUCGUGGGAAAAUGGCUAGUUAUUAGCUAGUUUACUAGCUAAUAAUCAUCAGGUGCCGUUCCAUCUUCUUCUUCCCACGUUUUUGAGCUUCUCUUUUAAAAGGAUUUCAAAUCCACCGCUUCUGAAAACCUAGCCCUUCCGACUCCGUUCUUCCGAGCUUUUCUUCGGGAUUUCCAUUGUUUCCUUCGGACCUCCCUUUUCUUUCACUCUCUCUCUGUUUCUUCCCUCGACUCAGAAAUGUCUUCCCCAAGGUCUCGUGCUCAGUCUUCUUCAGCUCC
rnacentral:lncRNA from 1 species